rnacentral:rRNA from 1 species
UACGAAGGGGGCUAGCGGUGUUCGGAAUUACUGGGCGUAAAGCGCACGUAGGCGGAUUAGUAAGUCAGGGGUGAAAUACCGGGGCUCAACCUCGGAACUGCCUUUGAUACUGCUGAUCUCGAGUCCGGAAGAGGUGAGUGGAAUUCCUAGUGUAGAGGUGAAAUUCGUAGAUAUUAGGAAGAACACCAGUGGCGAAGGCGGCUCACUGGUCCGGUACUGACGCUGAGGGGCGAAAGCGUGGGGAGCAAACAGG